UAGAGGAAGUAAAAGUCGUAACAAGGUCUCCGUUGGUGAACCAGCGGAGGGAUCAUUAC
rnacentral:rRNA from 5 species